rnacentral:rRNA from 1 species
AAAAAAAUGUAACAAGGUCUCCGUUGGUGAACCAGCGGAGGGAUCAUUAUCGGGUCUCUGUAACAACCCGAAAACCAUACGUGCACCUACGAUUUUGAAAAUUUCGCUGCGGCGGGCCGCUCGCUGGGGGAGCCGCCGGGCCGUAAGGCUGGCCCGCCAAUGCAGCGAGAGCAUUUUAGCUCUGAACUGAAGCCGAGGCGCUCUGGAAAUUUCUUCUGAAGCACUACGUCAGCCGCCCCGCGAGGGGUACGGCGAAACGAAACUAGUCACAACCCAUAACGAUGGAUCUCUUGGCUCUGGCAUCGAUGAAGAACGCAGCGAAAUGCGAUACGUAAUACGAAUUGCAGAUCCAGUGAAUCAUCGAGUUUUUGAACGCACAUUGCGCCCCCUGGCAAUCCGGGGGGCACGUCCGACCGAGCGCCGUUAAAAGACGCUCGGGAGUGCGCUGGGCUUUAUAGCUCGGCGCGGCUCCCGGUACUGGGACUUGCGGAGAGAUGUCUGAAGCUUUUCAAACUCCCCCGCAGUCCCCAAACCCAGCGGCGGCCGUCACCCGCGGUCCCCCAGGUGUAGUAACUUUAUCGUCUCACCUAGAGGGGUCUUUACCGCAGGAGGCUUGCCUUGCACGCAAUACCAGAGAGUCAUGUCUCCGGCCAACGAUUCUUCUGGCCUCGGGUCGGACGAGGCUACCCGCUGAACUUAAGCAUACAAAA